GCAGCAGUGCUCUUACGUGCGGUGAAAACGACCCGUCUACAAUGUGAAACGGCUUUAAUUUAGAAAAGAAAAAUCCAGCACACGCGCCAUUCCGACAAAAGUGCUGGUGUCGUGAAGCGUCUAAGUCGUUUUCAUAGCGUGCAGGAUCUGUUUAUGGACUUUAGAGAAGACACCAGGAAGGAAGGGAGAGAGAGAGAGGCAGACAAACGUCCACGUGGAGAGAAACGUCGACCGGCGGCCUCCCGCACACGCCCUGACCUGGGACAGAGCCCACCACCUUCUCAGCACCCCGGCCGCGGCUCAGAGCAGGACUGUACACAAGAGACCUUGCCAGUGCCCUGCAUUCCCGAUGAGCAGAAGUCUGCCCGGUGUGGUGGCGUCACGAGAGAGGUGACGGCAACGGGACACGCGACCUAGCUGUUACAGGUGUGGCACGGGCAGGCGUGGAUGCUGGUCUAAGAAGUUUUGUGGGCGCUAUCGCGGCAAGGUGUAAAGAACGAGCUCCGCACUGAAAGUGCGGCUGGGCCACACGGAUCUGUAGGGAACACAUCUGCACACGGCGGGGAAACGAAGGCCGACCCUGCAGACCGCACACCUGAAGGGAGAACCGGAAGUCCGCGACGUGCAGGAGCCAGCCCAGCAGAGCCUGCCUGCAACUGUG